UGCAUUCACUACUGUAAGUCGCUCUGGAUAAGAGUGUCUGCUAAAUUACAACAC
rfam:Salmo salar isolate Sally breed double haploid chromosome ssa19, whole genome shotgun sequence.